rnacentral:rRNA from 1 species
AAUUGCCAAAACUAUCCUCAAUGCACAGAUCUCAUCUGAUGUUGGAAGCUAAGCAGGAUCAGGCAUGGUUUGCUCAUGGAUAGCAAAUC